AGGUCGGCGGGGGAUGUACGCCGCUCUCACCCCCCUGUGUCUCCACACACACCCUCUCACCCCCCUCCCCUGUGUCUCUACACAUACCCCUCCCUCACCCCUGUGUCCCCUCUCACUCGACCCUUACCUGUGUCCCCCAUACCCACCCCGGCCUUCCUGCCCAGCCAGUGUCUGCAAAGUUACUUAUGACCUACGACCAGAGGGUCAACAUUGGCCUGAACCAGGUCCACUGGCCUUAACCCAGGUCCACUGGCCUUAACCCAGGUCCACUGGCCUUAACCCAGGUCCACUGGCCUUAACCCAGGCCCACUGGCCUUAACCCAGGUCCACUGGCCUCAACUAGGUCCACUGACCUUAACCCAGGUCCACUGGCCUUAACCCAGGUCCACUGGCCUUAACCCAGGCCCACUGGCCUCAACCAGGUCCACUGGCCUCAACUAGGUCCACUGGCCUGAACCCAGGUCCACUGGCCUGAACCCAGGUCCACUGGCCUGAACCAGGUCCACAGGCCUUAACCCAGGUCCACUGGCCUUAACCCAGGUCCACUGGCCUUAACCCAGGUCCACUGGCCUUAACCCAGGUCCACUGGCCUUAACCCAGGUCCACUGGCCUUAACCCAGGUCCACUGGCCUUAACCCAGGUCCACUGGCCUUAACCCAGGUCCACUGGCCCUAACCAGGUCCACUGGCCUCAACCAUGGCAAGCAACGGUACUGUCAACAGUUGUGCGUUGUCAAGUGUCAAGUGCGGCGUGAAGUGCUGGUGAAGUUGUGUAGAAAGUGGUGAUAGAUAUAAUAACACUUGUGCGGGAGGAAGCGGCAAGCAGCGUUCUCAGCCUUAUCUGGAGGCGACACUUUGUCAGCGUCAACACCAUGUCACGAGCUGAUGGGGAACUUGAGGAAGGGCGUAACCCGCUCGGUUACCGCCCUAGAGCCCCGAAAAUCGGCAACCUUCCAAAGUGAGUACCAGACAGUGUGUUAAAUGUUCCGCUUCCUCUGUGUACAUUAUGGCAGCUGCGCGCGCAUUGCCGUAUACACAAUAAUACAUUAUUGGUCUGGGUGAAUGACCUGCAUGCUCUCUGGUCGAAACUGUAAGCUGAAAUGGG